rnacentral:rRNA from 1 species
AUUGAACGCUAGCGGGAUGCUUUACACAUGCGAGUCGAACGAGUGGCGGACGGUUUAGUAAUAUAUCGGAACGUGCCCAGUAGCGGGGGCUAACUACUCGAAAGUGUGGCUAAUACCGCACUCUAUUUCAGCUGCCGAUAUCGGAAUAGCUAGUUGGUGGGGUAAAGGCCCACCAAGGCAACGAUCCUUAGCUGGUUUGAGAGGAAGACCAGCCAAGCUGGGACUGAGACACGGCCCAGACUCAUACGGGAGGCAGCAGUGGGGAAUUUUGGACAAUGGGGGAAACCCUGAUCCAGCCAUCCCGCGUGUAUGAGAAGGCCUUCGGGUUGUAAAGUACUUUUGGCAGAGAAGAGGUAACUGCAGAAUAAGCACCGGCUAACUACGUGACAGCAGCCGCGGUAAUAC